rnacentral:rRNA from 1 species
GCAGGCUGCAGCUCGCCUGCACGAAGUUGGAAUUGCUAGUAAUCGUGGAUCAGCAUGCCACGGUGAAUACGUUCCCGGGUCUUGUACACACCGCCCGUCACACCAUGGGAGCCGGUAAUACCCGAAGUCAGUAGUCUAACCGCAAGGAGGACGCUGCCGAAGGUAGGAUUGGCGACUGGGGUGAAGUCGUAACAAGGUAAC